rnacentral:rRNA from 1 species
UCUGCUCAAUGAUUAUUUAAAUAGCCGCAAUUCGUGCUAAGGUAGCAUAAUCAUUUGUCUUUUAAAUGAAGACUAGAACAAAAGAUUUAACAUUUUAGCUCAUUUACCCAAUUUAAAAAUUGAAUCUUUCCUAAAUGUAAAAAGACAUUUAUACUUUAGAAAGACGAUAAGACCCUAUUGAACUUAACUGUAGUUAAACUGGGGCAGUAAAUUAAUUAUUAUUUUAAUAUAAGUAAAAAUAUUAUUAUCUAAUAAAAUUAAAUAAUUCAGUUACCAUAGGGAUAACAGCGUAAUAGAAUUUUAAAGAUCUUAUUUCAAAAUCAAUUUGCGACCUCGAUGUUGAAUUAAUAUGCUAAUUAAGGCAAGACUUAAAAAAGCAAGUCUGUUCGACUUUUAAAAAAUUACAUGAUUUGAGUUCAGACCGGCGUAAGCCAGGUCGGUUUCUAUCUUCUAAAUAAUUUUUUACAGUACGAAAGGGCCUAAAAAUAUAAUU